CUCAUUUCUGACUCCCUGGGAGGGUGACUCUGUCCUCAGUGUCCUGUCCACCUCCACUGAUGUCUGCUCACUGCCAUUCAUUCAAGGCUCAGCCUUCUCAGCCCCCUGGGUAGGACAGUGCCUUUUCCCAUCGCUGCCGGAACUCCCCAGGCAGUUUGCAUGGGUUUCUCACUGGAAGCUGCUGAGCCCCACCUGUGUGGGGUCCUGGGGCUGCCCCCCUCCUCACAGCAGGCUCAGCUCAUGGUGGGUGCCGGGGGGUGGGGAGGCUGAGGGUUGGGAGGGAGGAGGGGCAGGCGGAGGAGGCUUCUUUAGGAUGAGCCCAGCGAGGGUGGCCCAGGGGAGACGGUGCAGAUCCCAGGAGCCCACAUCAGCUGGAGACCUUAGGGAGAGCUCCAGGCCCAGCACACCUGCCCCAGCCUCAGCCCAGGAACCCUGCCCUGUCGGGGGAAGGAAUGUGUGGAAUGUUCCAGCAAAGAGGAGAGUCAAGGUCUUAGAAGUCAAGGAAAGACUGAGGACUGUUCCAGGUUGAGGAUGAGCAUGAAGUCUUAUAAUCCCUGUAAUCCCAGCACUUUGGGAGGCCGAGGUGGACAGAUCACUUGAGGUCAGGAGUUCGACACCAGCCUGGCCAACCAACAUGGUGAAACCACGUCUCUACUACAAAUACAAAAAUUAGCCAGAUGUGGUGGCACAUGUCUGUAGUACCAGUUACUCGAGAGGCUGAGGCAGGAGAAUCACUUGAACCUGGGAGGCGGAGCUUGCAGUGAGCUGAGAUCGCACCACUGCACUCCAGCCUGGGCGACAGAGUGAGAUUCCUUCUCAAAAAAAAAAAAAAAGAAAGAAAGAAAAAAGGCAUUAUUGGGACAGUUGGUAAAACCUGAAUAGGUCUCUAGGUGAAGAAUACGUACUCUUUGUACUAUUCUUGCAACUUUUUGGUGUAUUUGAAAUUGUUUUGAAAUAAAAAGUAAAAUUAAAAGCGAGAAGCACCCUGUGUGGCUGGCACCCUGGCUGCUCGCAUCUGCAGGAAGCAUGGUGGGGCUGGGCGGUCCCAGGCUGCCGUGGCCCCUUUGUGCUGCUGUAAGAAGGUACCUGUGACUGGGUGACUCAUAAGGAGCAGAAAUGUACUGCUCACAGCUCUGGAGUCUGGGAAGUCUGAAACCAGGGCCCCGGCAGGUUUGGUGUUUGGCGAGGACUGCUCUCUGCUUCCAAGGUGGUCCCCUUGUUACUGUGUCCUCUCAUAGCAGAAGGCAGGAGGGCAAAAGGGGCCUGGCCAGUCAGACAGCCCUUUCGUAAGGCUCUAAUCCUACCCUUGACGGUGGAACCCUCACGGCCUAACCCUCCCGAAGGCCUCACCUCUGAACACUGUUGCGCUGGGGAUUAAGUUUCAACAUGGAUUUCGGAGGAACACAGACAUUGAAACCACAGCAGUGCCAUCGCUCCCAGGCUGAGACCCCACCUUGGCUCUCUGCCCCUAGCAUCUCCUCCCUGGCCCCUGGAGAGACACAGGAGAAGGAGAGAAGGGCUAUUCUGUAGGAAUCACAAGGCCGAGUGGACUCUCACCUGAGGGAGGGCACCUGCAGCUUGGCUGGCCCCAGGGAUCUGUGGGCACGGAGCAUGUGGCUGGGUGCCUAUCACCUUCUUCCCCACUUUACCCUGGGCAUCCAGCCCCUGGACCAUGACUGCCAGGCACGGAGCAGGUGUGGAGGAGUGUCAGCAUGAUGAAAUUCACCCACACCACGGCUGCCACAGAUGGACAGCCUCACGGAGAGGUGUGGCCAGGGGAGCAGCGGAGGGGCCUGUGGGGUCAGGUGGUCCAGAGGAGAGCCUUCUGGCAGGGGGGCUUGUGAGAGCGUUCCAAGAAGGUGGGCAAGCUCAGCCAGGAGGGUGGAAGGGUGACACGGUCCAGGCCAGAGGAUGGCAGCCACAGUGGGAGGGAAGGUGAGAGGCCCUGUGGUCUGGCUGGAACUGAACAGAUGACACCAGCAGGGGUAAACAUGGUGGGAAGGUGUGGGCCCAAGCCGGUCCUUGGAGCUCAGAGAGCGUCUGGCUUUGGUCUGGGCUAUGUUUGGUGUGAUGGCUGGGGGAGUUGCUGAGGUGGGAACGCCCUUGAGGGCUCUACCUUGAAGGGUGGGAUUAUGCCUCAGGAAAGGGCUGUCCGAGGGUCCGUGUUUACAGGGAGAUGGUUGAUGUGGGAGGCAGUUCUGGCUGAACUCACAGUGCCCAAGGGCUGACCAAUAACGAGCCGAGCCCAGCCCAGUGUGGCCCAAACCUUGCGGUCAGAUUAGUCUGCUCGGCAGCUGGGACGGAGGACCAUGAACGGGGGCUUGGCGUCCCACAUCGAUUCUCCCACAGUCCUGCAGGGUGGGGCCCACUGUCCAGGUGCUGCGGGGCCAGGGCCUCCGGGACCCCCCUGGCUGGCAGUCAAUGGCUCCUCCCACCCUCCCAGGGCCCCUCUGUGCGCUCUGGGUCCUCAUCUCCUUCUUGGGAGUCAGACUGGACAGGGCCACCCCAGUGACUCCCUUUUACUGUAAUCACCUCCUUAAAGGCCCCACCUCCAAAUCCAGUCCCACUCUGAGGUCCUGGGAGUUGAGGAUCCAGUAUAUGGAUUUUGGGGGCCCCACUCAGCCCUGACACUGCGCUGGACAGAGCAUGCCUCAAAUUCCAAGGGUGAUGAAUUCGCUGUGACCACACUUCUGUCGUUAAACAUCAUUCAUAACCAGGUGCUGACAUUUGCUGCACAGGUGCCGCCCACAGCCCCUCGCUGCCCUGGGUCCAGCUGAUGCUCAGCUCCAUGGUCCGGCCGCUGCUGGUGGCGGUGUUGGCCCAAGGGUGAUGCUCUCCUCCCUCUGCCGGGAACACCCCUGGCAAGGACGCUGCCCACCCAUCCCCGCACAUGGAAAGGAGGUGAGGCAGCUGCGGCAUCUUCACAGAACACGUCCCCCCGACACGCACCAAGACAUGGCUCGAGGCCCGGGCCUCCCACACACCCAUGGGCUUCCAGCACGUCCUUCCCACGUCAGACACCAGACAGAGCCGGUGCAGGUGGCUUCCAGGUGGCAUGUCCCUUCGGAUGGGCUCUGCCGUCCCUGUCAUGUGCACCAGCUGCUGCAUCCACCCUUAGUGCCAGCUCUGGGGGCCUAAGCAGGAGCUCAGGGACAUGGAGACCGUGGAGAGGAGGCAUUCACUGUGGGGUGUCCCAAGGCUGGGCACCAAGGCAGGACCUCCGUGUGCCCCGAAUGCCGGCUUCCCUGGAGACUGCAGCCAGCGGGGAUCUCUCACAUCAGCCUCCCAAGACCACCGUGAGGGGGGCGCUUAGGAGCAGAAACACCCAGGCCGAGCAGGAUGAGCAGGUGAAGCUGCCCAACGCAGGGGACGGGACGCAGAGGCGAUUCACGAGCCUGGGGCUCCAGCAGCAGCCAGGCGGAUCCCGCCACACCUUUCGCUCUCAGCUACCAGUCUGCCUGCCACCAUCACCUUCCCGCGUGUGAGUGGGGCCCUGGUUCCCCAAGCAGCCGCUGACUCCCGGACGCCUGCUGGCCAGGCCCCGGUCAUGAGUGCAUCCGGGGAAGGCUUCGGGCCUACAGGAACGGAAGGAAAAGCCAUCCAGCCUCCCUGACCCUCCACACGGAAGCUGAGGGGUUCCCCAUACACCGGCUGCCGGGGACUGCCUCGACUCUGGUUUUGGCAGAGACAGGCCCUGCUGUGUCCGUCAUCUCUGAUGGAAGUGACAGCCAUUUCCCCUGCAGACAGGCCAGAGCGGCCUAUCCACGCUCCACGGUGUGAGGCCAGUGGUGGCGUCCCCAGGGCCACAGCCCAGCGAGGGUGAGGUGGGGGAGCGUCCUGGCUGAGGGCUGGGCCGCCUCCCGCGUGCUCUGGGGAACAAUGCUUCCGCACCACCCCCGCCCCUUCCUGGCUUCUGUGAAACUGAACAUCUCCAAGUAAAUAUUUUCACUGCUAAGCACAGGCAGCACUUCGAGGCUUCGUGACGAAGACGUGGAAACCGCAACCCGGACCUCGCCGUCAGAGCCGGGCCUGCAUUUCCCAGUCAGCACGUGUGUCCCUUCUCCUCAGCAACCGCCAGCCCUGGGACAAGCCCCACACCACCCUGGUUACCCUCAGCUGCGAGAUGGGAGGUGCCGGGCACAGCCAGGACUGCAUCUGGUCCUGGGCGCAGACUUCACCUUCUGGACCUUCUCCUAUCCGGAAAGUAUGUGGCUCACACGGUGGUGCAAGGAGCCUUGGGCUGGGCAGCUGCUGGCCUGGAUCCGAGUCCUGCCCUGGUGAAAGUGCUGAUUACUUUACAUACUUCUACAUCUGCAGAACCAGGUGAUUGAUCCUCAAAGCCCAGCCAGCUCCAGCAAGCUCUGGUACCUGCAACCACGGGCCGCCCUGUGCCCGGCCCACCUUCCUCGAACCGUGUUCCGCUCACCUGUGGCGCGGCCGCCCCCGGAGCAGCGCGUGCCGUGUGCCGAGGACAGAGGCAGACCCGGACAGAGAUAGAUGUGGAGGGGUAGCCAGUAUCAGGGGCACCCCCGCUUGUGCUCACUGCCCCACCCGCCUGCUUUUGCCGCUAACGUCCAGACAUUCUUCUCUUAACCCCAAAGCCCCUGGGGUUCAGUUCCUGCUGUUGCAGCCCAAGGGCUCCACCAAGAGCUGGGGGCAGUGUCCACCUCCUGGGGGUCUCGAGGGGCUCCAUAAGAGCCCCUUGUCCUGAGCCCCCACCCAGGCUGCGCACUGGCAGCUGUUCAGUCCCGGCUGGCUUUAAUUGUUGUCGUUUAAUAUUCAAUAUUGACAUAAACUCUAUUUUGGUUGUGAAACCACUCAGCAUUCCAUGUCCUUAUUCCUGGAUUUUGAUUCUAAGCCCCUUUAGGAAAUGUCUGCCCCGAAGUGACCGUCUCGUCUGGAAGGUUCCCACAGAGCAGGGUAUGAUGACAGCCCAACGGGCUUCCUCCCAGUGCAGACACCGCCCCAGCGGCUCCGGCAGGAGCACGUUAUCAUCCGCAGAGGACAGACGCCGAAACGUGCAGGGGCCUGUAAGCCUGCGCAGUGUCACACACACUCAGCCCCAGCGAGGGGCACGCACACAUUACCGUGUUUGAGAUGACAGUUUUACAGUGUGUUGAUUGUUGAUGUCCCCUACUUUUCUGGAUUUUCCUCCAGUUUUGUUUUUUGUGGGUUUUUUUUUUGAGAUAGGGUCUUGCUCUGUCAUCCAGGCUGGACACUAUCUCAAACAAGCAAGCAAACAAAAAAAAAUUAAAAGUGCAGCCCUCACCUCCUCGGCUCAAGCCAUCCUCCCACUUCAGCCUCCUGAGUAGCUGGGACUACAGUUGUCUGCCACCACCCCUGGCUAAUUAAAAAAAAUUUUUUUUGUAAAGACGGGGUCUUGCCAUCCUGCCCAGGCUGGUCUCGAACUCCUGGGCUCAAGCAAUCCUCCCGCCUUCGCCUCCCAAAGUGCUUGGCUUACAGGCAUAAGCCACCACGCCCAGCCAUUCCCCAAUUUUGAAUUGGUAUUAGUAGCUUUAAUUCUGUUCUGUUUCUCUUACAAUAAGCACCUUUCUCAACACAUUUCCAUCCAUUGACAAAAUAGGGAGAA
rnacentral:lncRNA from 1 species